CUAACACAUGCAAGUCGAGCGGCGGCGAGGUUAGUAGCAAUACUAAUUGUCGGCGAGCGGCGGACGGGUGAGGAACACGUAGGGAUCUGCCUUAGGGAGGGGGAUAACCAAGGGAAACUUUGGCUAAUACCGCAUAAACUCGGGAGAGAAAAGCUGCCUGCAAGGGUGGCGCUUUAAGAGGAGCCUGCGUCCGAUUAGCUAGUUGGUAGGGUAAAGGCCUACCAAGGCGAUGAUCGGUAACUGGUCUGAGAGGACGACCAGUCACACUGGGACUGAGACACGGCCCAGACUCCUACGGGAGGCAGCAGUGGGGAAUCUUGGACAAUGGGGGCAACCCUGAUCCAGCGAUGCCGCGUGGGUGAAGAAGGCCUUCGGGUUGUAAAGCCCUUUAGGUUGGGAAGAAGUGCAUAAGUUUAAGAGAUGUAUGCAUUGACGGUACCGACAGAAUAAGCACCGGCAAACUCUGUGCCAGCAGCCGCAGUAA
rnacentral:rRNA from 1 species